rnacentral:rRNA from 1 species
UAGGACUGUAAAAGGGGACUGCGGAGAUCUUACUGAUUUGCUUAUUGCACCACAUGAGUUUUUUAUUGAUCCAAUUUCUUUGGUGGCGGGAGCAAUCCUACCGCCAGAGGUUAUUCUAAACCAAACUUUUUAUUUACAGUCAAACUUGAUUUAUUAUUACGGUAAGCAAACUUUCAACACGGAUCUCUUGGUUCUCGCUUCGACGCAGAACGCAGCGAAAUGCGAUACGUAAUAUGAAUUUGCAGAUAUUCGUGAAUCAUCGAAUCUUUGAACGCCCAUUGCGGCCCUUUGGGAUUCCAAAGGGGAUGCCCGGUUGAGCGUCUUUUCUCCCUCCAAACCCCCGGGGUUGGGGGUUAGCAUACCCUAGGUUUGUUUUGAAAAAAAUUUACGGGGAACCUUUUUUUAGGGCUUUUGGUUUUUUCCAAAAAUUUUUUUUUGUUUUGGGGCCCCCCCCUUUUUUUUUUUAUUUUACCCCCAAACCGGGGGGCGCCG